GCUUCCUUGGCUCAGUUGGAAGAGCGUCAGUCUCAUAAUAUGCGUGAUCUUGUGUCAUUUCAUCUGAAGGUCGUGAGUUCGAGCCUCACAGGGAGCA